AGAGUUUGAUCCUGGCUUAGGAUGAACGCUGGCGGCGUGCCUAAUACAUGCAAGUCGUACGAGGGAAGUCCAGCUUGCUGGACGGAACGAGUGGCGAACGGGUGAGUAAUACGUAAGCAACCUGCCUGCAAGGACUGGGAUAACACCUGGAAACGGGCGCUAAUACCGGAUAGGUAACAAAGGGGCAUCCCUAUGUUAUUAAAGGUUAGAAACACAAGCAGAUGGGCUUACGGUGCAUUAGCUAGUUGGUGAGGUAACGGCCCACCAAGGCGAUGAUGCAUAGCCGGCCUGAGAGGGUGAACGGCCACAUUGGGACUGAGACACGGCCCAGACUCCUACGGGAGGCAGCAGUAGGGAAUUUUCGGCAAUGGACGAAAGUCUGACCGAGCAACGCCGCGUGAGUGAAGAAGGUUUUCGGAUUGUAAAGCUCUGUUGUAAGGGAAGAACAGCACGGAAAGAAUCCGUGAAUGACGGUACCUUACCAGAAAGCCACGGCUAACUACGUGCCAGCCGCUGC
rnacentral:rRNA from 1 species